GAUGAACGCUGGCGGCGUGCCUAAUACAUGCAAGUCGAGCGAAUGGAUUAAGAGCUUGCUCUUAUGAAGUUAGCGGCGGACGGGUGAGUAACACGUGGGUAACCUGCCCAUAAGACUGGGAUAACUCCGGGAAACCGGGGCUAAUACCGGAUAACAUUUUGAACCGCAUGGUUCGAAAUUGAAAGGCGGCUUCGGCUGUCACUUAUGGAUGGACCCGCGUCGCAUUAGCUAGUUGGUGAGGUAACGGCUCACCAAGGCAACGAUGCGUAGCCGACCUGAGGGGGGGAGCGGCCACACUGGGUCUGAGACACGGCCCAGACUCCUACGGGAGGCAGCAGUAGGGAAUCUUCCGCAAUGGACGAAAGUCUGACGGAGCAACGCCGCGUGAGUGAUGAAGGCUUUCGGGUCGUAAAACUCUGUUGUUAGGGAAGAACAAGUGCUAGUUGAAUAAGCUGGCACCUUGACGGUACCUAACCAGAAAGCCACGGCUAACUACGUGCCAGCAGCCGCAGUAA
rnacentral:rRNA from 1 species